rnacentral:tRNA from 1 species
GGCGGUGUAGCUCAGAUGGUUAGAGCGACGGACUCAUAACCCGUAGGUCAUUGGUUCGAUUCCAAUCACCGCCACCA